GACGAACGCUGGCGGCGUGCUUAACACAUGCAAGUCGAACGAUGAACCCGGAGCUUGCUCCGGCGGAUUAGUGGCGAACGGGUGAGUAACACGUGAGUAACCUGCCCUUGACUCUGGGAUAACUGCGGGAAACUGUAGCUAAUACCGGAUACGACCCUCGGCGGCAUCGCCAGGGGGUGGAAAGAAUUUCGGUCAAGGAUGGACUCGCGGCCUAUCAGCUAGUUGGUGAGGUAACGGCUCACCAAGGCGACGACGGGUAGCCGGCCUGAGAGGGUGACCGGCCCCACUGGGACUGAGACACGGCCCAGACUCCUACGGGAGGCAACAGUGGGGAAUAUUGCACAAUGGGCGCAAGCCUGAUGCAACAACGCCGCGUGAGGGAUGACGGCCUUCGGGUUGUAAACCUCUUUUAGUAGGGAAGAAGCGAAAGUGACGGUACCUGCAGAAAAAGCACCGGCUAACUACGUGCCAGCCGCCGCCGUAA
rnacentral:rRNA from 1 species